rnacentral:SRP_RNA from 1 species
UGAUGGGCUAGGCGGGGGCCAGGGGUCCCCAUUCCGCAAAUCCCCUUUAGGCGGGCUGAACGCCCGGGGCGUGAUUCGCCCGUUUUGCGUCUUUCAUCUAAAGCGUCGAAGCCCUCCCUUCUGGGACAGGGGCUUUAUGCGAACCGGGUCAGGCCGGAAGGAGCAGCCCUAAGCGUAGUGCCCCGUGCUCAGGAGCAAGGGGGUGGAGCUGAUGGUGAAAGCUCCGCAUGGCGGACGCUUCGCAAUCCGGGAAGCCCAUCA